AUGAUUUAAUUUAAUGGCCGCGGUAUUUUGACCGUGCAAAGGUAGCAUAAUCAUUAGCUUAUUAAUUGUAAGAUUGUAUGAAUGGUUGGACGAAAUAUUAGCUGUCUCAUAUUUAUUAAUUAAAAUUUAAUUUUUGAGUUAAAAAGCUUAAAUUUUUUUAUAGGACGAGAAGACCCUAUAGAUCUUUAUUUUCAUUAUUUUUAUUUUUUUUUGUAUUUAUUAAUUUGUUGGAUUUUUAAUUGGGGUGAUUUUGAGAUAUAAUUAACUCUUUAUUUUUUUUUUCAUUUAUUUAUGUUUAGUUGACCUUUUAUUAUUGUUUGUAANAUUUANAUACCUUAGGGAUAACAGCGUAAUUCUCCUUGANAGUUCUUAUUGACAGGANANAUUGCNACCUCGAUGUUGAAUUAANAUUAAUAUUAGGNGUANAAGUUUAAUUAUUAGGUCUGUUCNACCUUUAAAAUCUUACAUGAUCUGAGUUCAAACCG
rnacentral:rRNA from 1 species